GAUGAACGCUAGCGACAGGCUUAACACAUGCAAGUCGAGGGGCAGCAUAAAAGUAGCAAUACUUUGGUGGCGACCGGCGCACGGGUGAGUAACGCGUAUGCAACCUACCUAUCAGAGGGGGAUAACCCGGCGAAAGUCGGACUAAUACCGCAUAAAACAGGGGCACCGCAUGGUGCUAUUUGUUAAAAAUUUAUUGCUGAUAGAUGGGCAUGCGUUCCAUUAGGUAGUUGGAGAGGUAACGGCUCACCAAGCCUACGAUGGAUAGGGGAACUGAGAGGUUGGUCCCCCACACUGGUACUGAGACACGGACCAGACUCCUACGGGAGGCAGCAGUGAGGAAUAUUGGUCAAUGGGCGAGAGCCUGAACCAGCCAAGUCGCGUGAAGGAAGAAGGAUCUAUGGUUCGUAAACUUCUUUUGCAGGGGAAUAAAGUGCAGGACGUGUCCUGUUUUGUAUGUACCCUGAGAAUAAGGAUCGGCUAACUCCGUGCCAGCAGCCGCGGU
rnacentral:rRNA from 1 species